GACGAACGCUUGCGGCGUGCCUAAGAAAUGCAAGUCGAGCGGGGUUUCACGCUGUCCAAAGCUUCGGCAGAGGACUUGUGAAACCUAGCGGCGAACGGUCGAGUAACACGUAAGCAACCUGCCCCGAAGUCUGGGAUAACCCGCCGAAAGGUGGACUAAUACCGGAUGUGUCCCGACUGGCUUAUGCCGGUCGGGAUAAAAGAGCAAUCUGCUUUGGGAUGGGCUUGCGGCCUAUCAGCUAGUUGGUGGGGUAACGGCCUACCAAGGCGACGACGGGUAGCUGGCCUGAGAGGGCGGCCAGCCGGAUUGGGACUGAGAUACGGCCCAGACUCCUACGGGAGGCAGCAAUUAGGAAUCUUGCGCAAUGGGGGAAACCCUGACGCAGCGACGCCGCGUGAGUGAUGAAGUCUUUCGGGAUGUAAAACUCUGUCCUGCGGGGAAGAAGAAUGUGACGGUACC
rnacentral:rRNA from 1 species